rnacentral:tRNA from 1 species
CGGGGUUUUAGCUCAAUUGGUAGAGCGUUCGCUUUGCAAGCGUUUGGCUGUUGGUUCGAGUCCAAUAAACUCCA